AGCACAGAAAGGGGGUUCGUGGGGGAGGGUAGAAGCCUGGGGGAGGAGCUUGAGUCCAGACAGUGCCUGGGUACUGCCAGACAUCGGGCCCAGGUCUCUGGGGUUGUCUUACCGCAGUGAGUACCACGCGGUACUACAGAGACCGGCUGCCGGUGUGCCUGGCAGGCGGAGCCGCAUCAGCGGCCUCGAGGAAUGGAAGCGGAGAACGCGAGCAGAGGCUCCAAAAGGAAGAAAAAGAAAACCCAGAACAACAGAACCAAAACAACCAGUGGAACCCAAAAAACCUGUUGAGUCAAAAAAAUCUGGCAAGUCUGCAAAAUCAAAAGAAAAACAAGAAAAAAUUACAGACACAUUUAAAGUAAAAAGAAAAGUAGACCGUUUUAAUGGUGUUUCAGAAGCUGAACUUCUGACCAAGACUCUCCCUGAUAUUUUGACCUUCAAUCUGGACAUUGUCAUUGUAAGAUCUUUGUCCUCGUUGGAUUUUAUAAGUAGUAUUGGGGGAUCAGCUUUACUUAACAGUUGUCCUUGCAAAUAGCAUUUUGCUGAAAAGGACCAUUUCUAAGAAUCCUUUUGGUGGUAAAUGGUGUCACCCUCAUGAGGUUGUGUUAUAUGAGAGUGUUUAAGAGGGUGGGCUCCAAAUUUAGACUGUCUGGGUUCAAAUCCUGUCACAAGUAUAAUCUUGGAUAAGCCUUAUUAACCUUUCUAAACACUGGUUUUCUCAUUGAUAAACCAAGGGUGAUAAUACCACCCCCCGAUAGGGUUGCAAGUAAAUGAGAUAAUCCAUGUGAAUCACUUCAACUGAAUGAUACCUGUGGAGACUUCAUGAAUGGUAGCACUGAUUUUAAGCUCUUAUUUUUC
rnacentral:sRNA from 1 species